GUCACUCUCAGGGGACGUCUCUCUACAAGCCAAGUGCUCCCUUUAGCAUGGAUGGGUGACUUCCAUGUUUCUGGCUGUGUCUCCUUCCUUUCACUUCGUUAGACCGCCUCUAGACAUGUGAGGCAUCUGAUUCCCCCAUGUCCCCCGCCCUACUUGUCCACACAUCUGGAAGAGCCAUGUUCACAUCUGGAGACCAUUCUCAUCUGGAAGAUUUCUUUCAACAUUCUUUUCUUUGAAACUCAAGCCAUGUAACCUCUCAUUCAAAAGGGCCUCUCAACUACUGGCAUCUUUGCAGAGGCUCGGGAAAAUGUCCUUAUUUCAGCCCUUCGUGGUGGAAUUUAUGACUCACACCAAACCCAGCAUUAUGUUUCUGAUUUCUUUCUUCUUCUUCUUCUUUUUUGAGCUUCAUGUUUUCAAGGACUGAACGUUCUGGUUUGGAUCACGUACACAGGGAAGUUGGAAGCUUGCAGGUUCAGCAAUUACGUGGGUGAAACCAAUCAGUAGGCCGGUGACCUGGAGCAAAUAGGUCAUUUUCUCAUCAAUAAAAUUGAUCUUUAUAAUCCA